ACAAAACAGAAGAAUAACUCGGGGGAGGGGGAUAGGCUAGCUUUUUGUCCUGUUUAUAUAGCUCAAACAAAUACAUUUGUAUAUAUCUUCCACAAUGCAUUUUUUUUUAUUAUAUCGAAUAAAGAAUACAUAUUUUGGCUUAAAAAAAAAAUUUCAAGAUGGCCGCCAUUCAAUAUGGGUAAUAUUUCCAAAACUUUUGUUCUACAAGACAAUUGGAUUCAGC
rnacentral:lncRNA from 1 species